CAGUAGCCACGGUAAUACGUAGGUGGCAAGCGUUGUCCGGAAUUAUUGGGCGUAAAGGGUGCGUAGGCGGUUUGACAAGUCUUAUGUGAAAUCUCUGGGCUCAACCCAGAGUCUGCAUGGGAAACUGUCGGGCUUGAGUAUGGGAGAGGUGAGUGGAAUUUCCGGUGUAGCGGUGAAAUGCGUAGAUAUCGGAAGGAACACCUGUGGCGAAAGCGGCUCACUGGACCAUAACUGACGCUGAGGCACGAAAGCUAGGGGAGCAAACAGGAUUAGAUACCCCGGUAGUCCCUGUCUCUUAUAC
rnacentral:rRNA from 1 species